GCCAGGAGAGAGCUUCCACGCGAAGCCGCCGAAGGCGCAGGACCGGCAGCGAUGCCGGCUCGAACGCUCAGGCAAAAGGACUGGC
rnacentral:ncRNA from 2 species